rnacentral:rRNA from 1 species
UAGCAUAUCAAUAAGCGGAGGAAAAGAAACCAACAGGGAUUGCCCUAGUAACGGCGAGUGAAGCGGCAUCAGCUCAAAUUUGAAAUCUGGCUCUUUCAGGGUCCGAGUUGUAAUUUGCAGAGGGCGCUUUGGUGUUGGCAGCGGUCCAAGUUCCUUGGAACAGGACGUCACAGAGGGUGAGAAUCCCGUACGUGGUCGCUGGCCUUCGCCGUGUAAAGCCCCUUCGACGAGUCGAGUUGUUUGGGAAUGCAGCUCUAAAUGGGAGGUAAAUUUCUUCUAAAGCUAAAUACUGGCCAGAGACCGAUAGCGCACAAGUAGAGUGAUCGAAAGAUGAAAAGCACUUUGGAAAGAGAGUCAAAUAGCACGUGAAAUUGUUGAAAGGGAAGCGCUUGCAGCCAGACUUGCCUGUAGUUGCUCAUCUAGGCUCUUUGCCUAGUGCACUCUUCUGCGGGCAGGCCAGCAUCAGUCUAGGCGGUUGGAUAAAGGCCUCUGUCAUGUACCUCCUCUCGGGGAGGCCUUAUAGGGGAGGCGUAAUGCAACCAGCCUGGACUGAGGUCCGCGCAUCUGCUAGGAUGCUGGCGUAAUGGCUGUAAGCGGCCCGUCUUGAAACACGGACCAAGGAGUCUAACAUCUAUGCGAGUGUUUGGGUGUCAAGCCCGAGCGCGUAAUGAAAGUGAACGGAGGUGGGAUCCCUUUAGGGUGCACCAUCGACCGAUCCUGAUGUCUUCGGAUGGAUUUGAGUAAGAGCAUGGCUGUUGGGACCCGAAAGAUGGUGAACUAUGCUUGAAUAGGGUGAAGCCAGAGGAAACUCUGGUGGAGGCUCGCAGCGGUUCUGACGUGCAAAUCGAUCGUCAAAUUUGGGCAUAGGGGCGAAAGACUAAUCGAACUAUCUAGUAGCUGGUUCCUGCCGA